UAGAUAGGAGUCGGCGACCCAAUGGGUAUGCCGAUUUCCCACAUAAUGACCUCCGGAAUGAGCGGUAUCAGAGCAGCAGGGGAUCUUGUUGCAAGGAUGC
rfam:Methanosalsum zhilinae DSM 4017, complete genome.